rnacentral:rRNA from 1 species
GAACCUUACCCAGGCUCGAAAUGUAGAGGACGAUAUCAGAGAUGAUAUUUCCCGCAAGGGCUUUUAUAUAGGUGCUGCAUGGCUGUCGUCAGCUCGUGCCGUGAGGUGUUUGGUUAAGUCCCGCAACGAGCGCAACCCUUAUCCUAUGUUGCCAGCGCGUAAUGGCGGGGACUCGUAGGAGACUGCCGGGGUCAACUCGGAGGAAGGUGGGGUCGAAGUCAAGUCAUCAUGCCCCUUACGUCCAGGGCUGCACACAUGCUACAAUGGCCGGUACAACGGGCUGCUAUUCCGCGAGGAGGAGCCAAUCCCUAAAGCCGGUCUCAGUUCGGAUUGGAGUCUGCAACUCGACUCCAUGAAGUCGGAGUCGCUAGUAAUCCCGGAUCAGCAACGCCGGGGUGAAUACGUUCCCGGGCCUUGUCACACCGA